GCUGGGUGUGGUGGUGGGCGCCUGUAGUCCCAGCUACUUGGGAGGCUGAGAUGGGAGGAUGGCUUGAACCCAGGAGGUAGAGGCUUCAGUGAACUGAAAUUGUGCCACUGCAGUCCAGCCUGGGUAACAAAGCCAGACCUUGUCUCAA
ensembl:misc_RNA Metazoa_SRP Metazoan signal recognition particle RNA